AUUUUCUAAGCAUUGUAGAAGUUUGUGUUUAGGACAAGAUUUUUGGACUGGGGUUCGAUUCCCCACAGCUCCACCA
rnacentral:tmRNA from 1 species